rnacentral:rRNA from 1 species
CCUACGGGUGACAGCAGUGAGGAAUAUUGGUCAAUGGACGAGAGUCUGAACCAGCCAAGUCGCGUGAAGGAUGACUGCCCUAUGGGUUGUAAACUUCUUUUAUAUGGGAAUAAAACGUUCCACGUGUGGGAUUUUGUAUGUACCAUAUGAAUAAGGAUCGGCUAACUCCGUGCCAGCAGCCGCGGUAAUACGGAGGAUCCGAGCGUUAUCCGGAUUUAUUGGGUUUAAAGGGAGCGUAGGUGGAUUGUUAAGUCAGUUGUGAAAGUUUGCGGCUCAACCGUAAAAUUGCAGUUGAAACUGGCAGUCUUGAGUACAGUAGAGGUGGGCGGAAUUCGUGGUGUAGCGGUGAAAUGCUUAGAUAUCACGAAGAACUCCGAUUGCGAAGGCAGUUCACUGGACUGCAACUGACACUGAGGCUCGAAAGUGUGGGUAUCAAACAGGAUUAGAUACCCCUGUAGUC